CUACGGGGGGCUGCAGUGAGGAAUUUUGCGCAAUGGGGGCAACCCUGACGCAGCAACGCCGCGUGAGUGAAGAAGGCCUUUGGGUCGUAAAGCUCUGUCGACAGGGAAGAAGUUACGUAAGGUGAAUAGUCUUAUGUAUUGACGGUACCUGUGGAGGAAGCAUCGGCUAACUCCGUGGCCAGCAGCCGCGGUAAUACGGGGGAUGCAAGCGUUAUUCGGAAUCAUUGGGCGUAAAGGGCACGCAGGCGGCCUUGCCAGUCAGAUGUGAAAGCCCGGGGCUCAACCCCGGACGUGCAUUUGAAACAGCAGGGCUUGAGUACGGUAGAGGAAAGCGGAAUUCCUGGUGUAGAGGUGAAAUUCGUAGAUAUCAGGAGGAACACCGGUGGCGAAGGCGGCUUUCUGGACCGAAACUGACGCUGAGGUGCGAAGGCGUGGGUAGCGAACAGGAUUAGAUACCCGUGUAGUC
rnacentral:rRNA from 1 species